rnacentral:rRNA from 1 species
AACCUCCGCAAUGUGAGAAAUCGCGACGGGGGGAUCCCAAGUGCCAUUCUUAACGGGAUGGCUUUUCAUUAGUGUAAAGAGCUUUUGGAAUAAGAGCUGGGCAAGACCGGUGCCAGCCGCCGCGGUAACACCGGCAGCUCUAGUGGUAACAAUUUUUAUUGGGCCUAAAGCGUCCGUAGCCGGUUUAAUAAGUCUCUGGUGAAAUCCUGUAGCUUAACUGUGGGAAUUGCUGGAGAUACUAUUAGACUUGAGACCGGGAGAGGUUAGAGGUACUCCCAGGGUAGAGGUGAAAUUCUGUAAUCUUGGGAGGACCGCCUGUUGCGAAGGCGUCUAACUGGAACGGUUCUGACGGUGAGGGACGAAAGUUAGGGGCGCGAACCGGAUUAGAUACCCGGGUAGUCCUAACUGUAAACGAUGCGGACUUGGUGUUGGGGUGGCUUUGAGCUGCUCCAGUGCCGAAGGGAAGCUGUUAAGUCCGCCGCCUGGGAAGUACGGUCGCAAGACUGAAACUUAAAGGAAUU